AACGAACGCUGGCGGCAGGCUUAACACAUGCAAGUCGAGCGCCCCGCAAGGGGAGCGGCAGACGGGUGAGUAACGCGUGGGAAUCUACCCAUCUCUACGGAAUAACGCAUGGAAACGUGUGCUAAUACCGUAUACGUCCUUCGGGAGAAAGAUUUAUCGGAGAUGGAUGAGCCCGCGUUGGAUUAGCUAGUUGGUGGGGUAAAGGCCUACCAAGGCGACGAUCCAUAGCUGGUCUGAGAGGAUGAUCAGCCACACUGGGACUGAGACACGGCCCAGGCUCCUACGGGAGGCAGCAGUGGGGAAUAUUGGACAAUGGGCGCAAGCCUGAUCCAGCCAUGCCGCGUGAGUGAUGAAGGCCCUAGGGUUGUAAAGCUCUUUCACCGGUGAAGAUAAUGACGGUAACCGGAGAAGAAGCCCCGGCUAACCUCGUGCCAGCCGCCGCCGUAAAAC
rnacentral:rRNA from 1 species